UGCAGCUGUAUUUCAGUCUUGUUGCUGUGUUCGUCCGUAUACUGUUUAUCAUGUUGAAGAACUCGGCCGAGAAGAAUGAGAAUAAGAAGAAAAGAAAGGAUUGAUGCUCCUCCUGUAACCCUGGUGAUGCAAAGCAAUGCAAAA